rnacentral:rRNA from 1 species
UAUUGCACAAUGGGCCAAGCCUAUGCAGCAACGCGCGUGAGGGAUGACGGCCUUCGGUUGUAAACCUCUUUUAGCAGGGAAGAAGGAAAGUGACGGUACCUGCAGAAAAAGCGCCGGCUAACUACGGCCAGCAGCCGGGUAGUAGGCCAAGCGUUAUCCGGAAUUAUUGGGCGUAAAGAGCUCGUAGGCGGUUUGUCGCGUCUGCUGUGAAAUCCUCAACCUCCGGUGGGCAGACUAGAGUGCGGUAGGGGAGAUGGCAGAUCGG